AGUGAACGCUGGCGGUAGGCCUAACACAUGCAAGUCGAACGGCAGCACAGGAGAGCUUGCUCUCUGGGUGGCGAGUGGCGGACGGGUGAGGAAUACAUCGGAAUCUACUCUGUCGCGGGGGAUAACGUAGGGAAACUUACGCUAAUACCGCAUACGACCUACGGGUGAAAGCAGGGGACCUUCGGGCCUUGCGCGAUUGAAUGAGCCGAUGUCGGAUUAGCUAGUUGGCGGGGUAAAGGCCCACAAAGGCGACGAUCCGUAGCUGGUCUGAGAGGAUGAUCAGCCAAAGUGGAACUGAGAAACGGUCCAGACUCCUACGGAAGGCAGCAGUGGGGAAUAUUGGACAAUGGGCGCAAGCCUGAUUCAGACAUACCGCGUGGGUGAAGAAGGACUUCGGGUUGUAAAGCCCUUUUGUUGGGAAAGAAAUCCAGCUGGCUAAUACCCGGUUGGGAUGACGGUACCCAAAGAAUAAGCACCGGCUAACUUCGUGCCAGCCGCCGCGGUAA
rnacentral:rRNA from 1 species